AGUCAUAUGCUUGUCUCAAAGAUUAAGCCAUGCAUGUCUAAGUAUAAGCAAUUUAUACAGUGAAACUGCGUAAUGGCUCAUUAAAUCAGUUAUCGUUUAUUUGAUAGNUACCUUUACUACUUGGAUAACCGUGGCUAAUUCUAGAGCUAAUACAUGCUAGAAAUCCCGACUGUUUGGAAGGGAUGUAUUUAUUAGAUAACAAAUCAAUGCUCUUUGAGCUCUUUGAUGAUUCAUAAUAACUUUUCGAAUCGCAUGGCCUUGUGCUGGCGAUGGUUCAUUCAAANUUCUGCCCUAUCAACUUUCGAUGGUAGGAUAGUGGCCUACCAUGGNUUCAACGGGUAACCGGGGAAUAAGGGUUCGAUUCCGGACGAUGGGAGCUGUGAGAAAGCGGCUAUCCACAUCCAGGAAGGCAGGCAGGCGCGCAAAUUACCAAYUCCCGAUCACGGGGAGGUAGUGACAAUACAUAACGAUACAGGGCCCUUUCGGGUCUUGUAAUUGGAAUGAGUACAAUGUAAAUACCUUAACGAGGAACAAUU
rnacentral:rRNA from 1 species